rnacentral:lncRNA from 1 species
AAGUUGGCGGUGCCAGAGAUCGACAGUGGUGCACCGGAUUCCAUUGCUGCGACAGAUCCCAUGGUGGAGGACACACAGGGAGCAUGUCCUGCCAGUGAAGACAUUCACGAGCUUGUGGAAGAGGAGCAAACCAAAGUCGAUGUGCCACAGCAAGUUUCCGAACGCGAGGUCGAGCUUCCCAUUCCAGUAGAAGAACUCCCAGAGUCGGCGAACGAAGUCGUCCAGGAGCCAGAGCCUGUUGCUGAGGCCGUUCCCGGGCCAGAGGCCGUGCCUGAGGUUGCUGAGGAACCUGCCCAGGAGGUGGAACUGGCCGAGCCACUCGUAGCUCAAGUACCAACUGCCACAGUGGAUGCUGUCUUACCAGCACACAAGGAAAUCGAGGCCGAAGAGAGCAUAGAGCCGGCCGAGGUGGCUGUGGAUGACCAGGUGGAGAAUGUCGAGCCCAGGGAGAGUGGUUCAGUCGCGAUCCUGGAGGAGGGAGAAAAGUUGGCGGUGCCAGAGAUCGACAGUGGUGCACCUGAUUCCAUGCAUGCGACAGAUCCCAUGGUGGAGGACACACAGGGAGCAUGUCCUGCCAGUGAAGACAUUCACGAGCUUGUGGAAAAGGAGCAAACCAAAGUCGAUGUGCCACAGCAAGUUUCCGAACGCGAGGUCGAGCUUCCCAUUCCAGUAGAAGAACUCCCAGAGUCGGCAAACGAAGCCGUCCAGGAGCCAGAGCCUGUUGCUGAGGCCGUUCCCGGGACAGAGGCCGUGCCUGAGGCUGCUGAGGAACUUGCCCAGGAGGUGGAACUGGCCGAGCCACUCGUAGCUCAAGUACCAACGGCCACAGUGGAUGCCGUCUUACCCGCACACGAGGAAAUCGAGGCCGAAGAGAGCAUAGAGCCGGCCGAGGGGGCUGUGGAUGACCAGGUGGAGAAUGUCGAGCCCAGGGAGAGUGCUUCAGUCGCGGUCCUGGAGGAGGGAGAAAAGUUGGCGGUGCCAGAGAUCGAGAGUGGUGCACCGGAUUCCAUGCAUGCAACAGAUCCCAUGGUGGAGGACACACAGGGAGCAUGUCCUGCCAGUGAAGACAUUCACGAGCUUGUGGAAGAGGAGCAAACCAAAGUCGAUGUGCCACAGCAAGUUUCCGAACGCGAGGUCGAGCUUCCCAUUCCAGUAGAAGAACUCCCAGAGUCGGCAAACGAAGUCGUCCAGGAGCCACAGCCUGUGGUUGAGGCCGUUCCCGGGACAGAGGCCGUGCCUGAGGCUGCUGAGGAUCUUGCCCAGGAGGUGGAACUGGCCGAGCCACUCGUAGCUCAAGUACCAACUGCCACAGUGGAUGCCGUCUUACCCGCACACGAGGAAAUCGAGGCCGAAGAGAGCAUAGAGCCGGCCGAGGGGGCUGUGGAUGACCAGGUGGAGAAUGUCGAGCCCAGGGAGAGUGCUUCAGUCGCGAUCCUGGAGAAGGGAGAAAAGUUGGCGGUGCCAGAGAUCGACAGUGGUGCACCGGAUUCCAUUUCUGCGACAGAUCCCAUGGUGGAGGACACACAGGGAGCAUGUCCUGCCAGUGAAGACAUUCACGAGCUUGUGGAAGAGGAGCAAACCAAAGUCGAUGUGCCACAGCAAGUUUCCGAACGCGAGGUCGAGCUUCCCAUUCCAGUAGAAGAACUCCCAGAGUCGGCAAACGAAGCCGUCCAGGAGCCAGAGCCUGUUGCUGAGGCCGUUCCCGGGCCAGAGGCCGUGCCUGAGGUUGCUGAGGAACCUGCCCAGGAGGUGGAACUGGCCGAGCCACUCGUAGCUCAAGUACCAACUGCCACAGUGGAUGCUGUCUUACCAGCACACAAGGAAAUCGAGGCCGAAGAGAGCAUAGAGCCGGC